UGAACGCUAGCUACAGGCUUAACACAUGCAAGUCGAGGGGCAGCAGUUGGGUAGCAAUACUCAGAUGGCGACCGGCGCGACGGGUGAGUAACACGUAUCCAACCUGCCGCUUACUCGGGGAUAGCCUUUCGAAAGAAAGAUUAAUACCCGAUGGUAUAAAGAGUUCGCAUGUUCUCUUUGUUAAAGAAUUUCGGUAAGCGAUGGGGAUGCGUUCCAUUAGAUAGUUGGCGGGGUAACGGCCCACCAAGUCUACGAUGGAUAGGGGUUCUGAGAGGAAGGUCCCCCACAUUGGAACUGAGACACGGUCCAAACUCCUACGGGAGGCAGCAGUGAGGAAUAUUGGUCAAUGGACGAGAGUCUGAACCAGCCAAAAGUAGCGUGAAGGAUGACUGCCCUAUGGGUUGUAAACUUCUUUUAUAAGGGAAUAAAGUGAGGGACGUGUCCCUUUUUGUAUGUACCUUAUGAAUAAGGAUCGGCUAACUCCGUGCCAGCCGCGGC
rnacentral:rRNA from 1 species